UACGUAGGGAGCAAGCGUUGUCCGGAAUCAUUGGGCGUAAAGCGCGCGUAGGCGGCCCUGUAAGUCCGUUGUGAAAGUCAAAGGCUCAACCUUUGAAAGCCGAUGGAUACUGCAGGGCUAGAGUCCGGAAGAGGCGAGUGGAAUUCCCGGUGUAGCGGUGAAAUGCGCAGAUAUCGGGAGGAACACCAGUAGCGAAGGCGGCACUCUGGGCCGGUACUGACGCUGAGGAGCGAAAGCGUGGGGAGCGAACAGG
rnacentral:rRNA from 1 species